rnacentral:rRNA from 1 species
UACGUAGGGUGCAAGCGUUGUCCGGAAUUAUUGGGCGUAAAGAGCUCGUAGGCGGUUUGUUGCGUCGGCUGUGAAAUCCCGAGGCUCAACCUCGGGUCUGCAGUCGAUACGAGCAAACUAGAGUGUUGCAGGGGAGACUGGGAAUUCCUGGUGUAGCGGUGAAAUGCGCAGAUAUCAGGAGGAACACCGGUGGCGAAGGCGGGUCUCUGGGCCGAUACUGACGCUGAGGAGCGAAAGCGUGGGGGAGCAAACAGG